AGAACGAACGCUGGCGGCAGGCCUAACACAUGCAAGUCGAACGCGACCUUCGGGUCGAGUGGCGCACGGGUGAGUAACGCGUGGGAAUCUGCCCUGUGGUACGGAAUAACAUCGGGAAACUGGUGCUAAUACCGUAUAUCCCCUGAGGGGGAAAGAUUUAUCGCCAUGGGAGGAGCCCGCGUAGGAUUAGCUAGUUGGUGAGGUAAAGGCUCACCAAGGCGACGAUCCUUAGCUGGUCUGAGAGGAUGAUCAGCCACACUGGGACUGAGAUACGGCCCAGACUCCUACGGGAGGCAGCAGUGGGAAUAUUGGACAAUGGGGGAAACCCUGAUCCAGCCAUGCCGCGUGUGUGAUGGAAGGCCUUCGGGUUGUAAAGCACUUUCGCACGUGACGAUGAUGACGGUAACGUGAGAAGACGCCCCGGCUAACUUCGUGCCAGCAGCCGC
rnacentral:rRNA from 1 species